rnacentral:rRNA from 1 species
AACGAACGCUGGCGGCAUGCCUAACACAUGCAAGUCGAACGAGACCUUCGGGUCUAGUGGCGCACGGGUGCGUAACGCGUGGGAACCUGCCUUUAGGUUCGGAAUAACUCAGAGAAAUUUGAGCUAAUACCGGAUGAUAUCUUCGGACCAAAGAUUUAUCGCCUUUAGAUGGGCCCGCGUUGGAUUAGCUAGUUGGUGGGGUAAAGGCCUACCAAGGCGACGAUCCAUAGCUGGUCUGAGAGGAUGAUCAGCCACACUGGGACUGAGACACGGCCCAGACUCCUACGGGAGGCAGCAGUGGGGAAUAUUGGACAAUGGGCGAAAGCCUGAUCCAGCAAUGCCGCGUGAGUGAUGAAGGCCUUAGGGUUGUAAAGCUCUUUUACCCGAGAUGAUAAUGACAGUAUCGGGAGAAUAAGCUCCGGCUAACUCCGUG